GAUGAACGCUAGCUACAGGCUUAACACAUGCAAGUCGAGGGACCGGCGCACGGGUGAGUAACACGUAUCCAACCUGCCCUUUACUCGGGGAUAGCCUUUCGAAAGAAAGAUUAAUACCCGAUAUAAAGGAUGGGGAUGCGUUACAUUAGGUUGUUGGUGAGGUAACGGCUCACCAAGCCUUCGCUGGAUGGGGGGUCUGAGAGGAAGGACCCCCACAAUGGAACUGAGGCACAGUCCAAACUCCUACGGGAGGCAGAAGUGAAGAAUAUUGGUAAAUCAACGCUAGCCUAAACCAGCCAAGUAGCGUGAAGGAUGAAGGCUUAUGGGUGGUAAACUUCUUUUAUAUAAGAAUAUGGAUUAGAUGAAUAAGGAUCGGCUAACUCCGUGCCAGCAGCCGCGGUAAUAC
rnacentral:rRNA from 1 species